rnacentral:rRNA from 1 species
AUUGAACGCUGGCGGCAGGCCUAACACAUGCAAGUCGAACGAGUGGCGGACGGGUGAGUAAUGUCUGGGGAUCUGCCUGAUGGAGGGGGAUAACUACUGGAAACGGUGGCUAAUACCGCAUACUAUCGGAUGAACCCAUAUGGGAUUAGCUAGUAGGUGGGGUAAAGGCUCACCUAGGCGACGAUCUCUAGCGGGUCUGAGAGGAUGACCAGCCACACUGGAACUGAGACACGGCCCAGACUCCAACGGGAGGCAGCAGUGGGGAAUAUUGCACAAUGGGCGCAAGCCUGAUGCAGCCAUGCCGCGUGUAUGAAGAAGGCCUUCGGGUUGUAAAGUACUUUCAGCGGGGAGGCGUUACCCGCAGAAGAAGCACCGGCUAACUCCGUGCCAGCAGCCGCGGUAAUAC